rnacentral:rRNA from 1 species
CAGGCUUAACACAUGCAAGUCGAGGGGCAUCAGGAAGAAAGCUUGCUUUCUUUGCUGGCGACCGGCGCACGGGUGAGUAACACGUAUCCAACCUGCCCUUUACUCGGGGAUAGCCUUUCGAAAGAAAGAUUAAUACCCGAUAGCAUAAUGAUUCCGCAUGGUUUCAUUAUUAAAGGAUUCCGGUAAAGGAUGGGGAUGCGUUCCAUUAGGUUGUUGGUGAGGUAACGGCCCACCAAGCCUUCGAUGGAUAGGGGUUCUGAGAGGAAGGUCCCCCACAUUGGAACUGAGACACGGUCCAAACUCCUACGGGAGGCAGCAGUGAGGAAUAUUGGUCAAUGGGCGCUAGCCUGAACCAGCCAAGUAGCGUGAAGGAUGAAGGCUCUAUGGGUCGUAAACUUCUUUUAUAUAAGAAUAAAGUGCAGUAUGUAUACUGUUUUGUAUGUAUUAUAUGAAUAAGGAUCGGCUAACUCCGUGCCAGCAGCCGCGGUAAUACGGAGGAUCCGAGCGUUAUCCGGAUUUAUUGGGUUUAAAGGGAGCGUAGGUGGACUGGUAAGUCAGUUGUGAAAGUUUGCGGCUCAACCGUAAAAUUGCAGUUGAUACUGUCAGUCUUGAGUACAGUAGAGGUGGGCGGAAUUCGUGGUGUAGCGGUGAAAUGCUUAGAUAUCACGAAGAACUCCGAUUGCGAAGGCAGCUCACUGGACUGCAACUGACACUGAUGCUCGAAAGUGUGGGUAUCAAACAGGAUUAGAUACCCUGGUAGUCCACACAGUAAACGAUGAAUACUCGCUGUUUGCGAUAUACAGUAAGCGGCCAAGCGAAAGCAUUAAGUAUUCCACCUGGGGAGUACGCCGGCAACGGUGAAACUCAAAGGAAUUGACGGGGGCCCGCACAAGCGGAGGAACAUGUGGUUUAAUUCGAUGAUACGCGAGGAACCUUACCCGGGCUUAAAUUGCAGUGGAAUGAUGUGGAAACAUGUCAGUGAGCAAUCACCGCUGUGAAGGUGCUGCAUGGUUGUCGUCAGCUCGUGCCGUGAGGUGUCGGCUUAAGUGCCAUAACGAGCGCAACCCUUAUCUUUAGUUACUAACAGGUUAUGCUGAGGACUCUGGAGAGACUGCCGUCGUAAGAUGUGAGGAAGGUGGGGAUGACGUCAAAUCAGCACGGCCCUUACGUCCGGGGCUACACACGUGUUACAAUGGGGGGUACAGAAGGCAGCUAGCGGGUGACCGUAUGCUAAUCCCAAAAGCCUCUCUCAGUUCGGAUCGAAGUCUGCAACCCGACUUCGUGAAGCUGGAUUCGCUAGUAAUCGCGCAUCAGCCACGGCGCGGUGAAUACGUUCCCGGGCCUUGUACACACCGCCCGUCAAGCCAUGGGAGCCGGGGGUACCUGAAGUACGUAACCGCAAGGAUCGUCCUAGGGUAAAACUGGUGACUGGGG